GGCGACAACCCUAAAAAAUAUUCUCUCAUUUUUUAUCAAAGGUAAUCUGCGAGAUCCCGAAGACCAAGGUAAUUAUGAGGUUUUACUAGAAGCAAACCCUGGUUUAGAGACAGUCGUCGCAGUUAACCCGAGGGUUAAGUUCUCUGUCUCUCUCAUUGUCUUUAUAUAUACAUUUUAUAUUCGCGGAGUCAAAUAUUAUUAUAUUCUGUC